rnacentral:rRNA from 1 species
AUUGAACGCUGGCGGCGUGCUUAACACAUGCAAGUCGAACGAAGUGGCGGACGGGUGAGUAACGCGUAAACAACCUGCCCUUCAACGGGGGACAACAGGUGAACACGACUGCUAAUACGCCAUACUAAAGGAGGAGAUUGCGUCUGAUUAGCUAGUGGGUAAGGAAAUGGCUUCCCUAGGCCACUAUCCCGAGCUGGGCGGAGAGGAUGAUCAGCCACACUGGGACUGAGACACGGCCCAGACUCCUACGGGAGGCAGCAGUGGGGAAUAUUGGACAAUGGGCGAAAGCCUGACGCAGCCAUGCCGCGUGUAUGAAGAAGGUCCUCGGGUUGUAAAGCACUUUUAGUCGGGAGCGUUAUCGACCGAAGAAGCACCGGCUAACUACGUGCCAGCAGCCGCGGUAAUAC